rnacentral:rRNA from 1 species
GACAGAGGUGCCGAGCGUUAGGCGGAAUCACUGGGCUUAAAGCGUGUGUAGGCGGACUUCUAAGUACCUUGUGAAAUCCCACAGCUCAACUGUGGAACUGCUCGGUAUACUGGUUGUCUUGAGCCACUUAGGGGCAGUCGGAACAGACGGUGGAGCGGUGAAAUGCGUAGAUAUCAGGAGGAACACCGAUUGCGAAGGCAGCUCGCUGGGACGUCACUGACGCUGAGACGCGAAAGCGUGGGGAGCAAACAGG